AUGCGAUAUAAUGUACUGUUUCUUCCACUGUCACCUGUGAAGAAUGACCUCAAAGGCACAAGCUCGGUAAUUGCUCUAAUUACCAGAGAUUCUCCAACACAGCCUAGCUCUCCACCCAACUGCUGCCAGGCCAUCACAGACACGAGCUGUGUUCAGCCCAUCAUCGCCAGGGUCACCAAGGUGCUGCGCAGGACCGGUUCGCAGGGACAGUGCACACAGGUGCGCAUAGAAUUCAUGAAGGACAGGAGCCGCUCACUGAUGGGAAACGUGAAAGGCCCCAUGCGCGAGGGCAACGUGCUCACCCUGCUGGUGUCAGAGCCAGAGGCUUAGAGGCUGCGCGGAACAUGUGACUGUGUCCUGGAUGUCUGGGUCGACCACUUGGCCCACGAGGAUGAUCUGCUGACCUCUGAAAUCUGCAUCAAAAGUUCCUUCUGCUACUUAAUGCAAGUGAAAUAUAAAUUUGAAAAAUAA